rnacentral:rRNA from 1 species
AUACGGAGGGUGCAAGCGUUAAUCGGAAUUACUGGGCGUAAAGCGCGCGUAGGCGGCUCAGUCAGUCGGAUGUGAAAGCCCCGGGCUCAACCCAGGAACUGCGUUUGAAACUGGCAGACUAGAGUUCGGGAGAGGAGAGUGGAAUUCCCAGUGUAGAGGUGAAAUUCGUAGAUAUUGGGAAGAACACCAGUGGCGAAGGCGGCUCUCUGGACCGAUACUGACGCUGAGGUGCGAAAGCGUGGGGAGCAAACAGGAUUAGAUACCCCAGUAGUCC